rnacentral:rRNA from 1 species
GACACGGUAAGGAUUGACGGACUGAAGGCUCUUUCUCGAUUCCGUGGAAAGUGGUGCAUGGCUGUUUUUGGUUGGUGGAUCGAUCCGUCUGGUUAAUUCCGUUAACGAACGAGACCUCGGCACUCCGAAUAGCGCGGCGGACGUCGCGGCCUCCGGGCCGUCUUCCGCACGAGCUUCUUAGAGGGACCGUCCCCCGCCGGGGAAGGAGGUGCGAGGCAACGACAGGUCUGUGAUGCCCUUAGAUGUUCUGGGCCGCACGCGCAUUACACUGACGCGUCCAACGGGUGACUCCCGACCCGAAGGGGCCGGGGAAUCCGCAAGGCGCGUCGUGAUGGGGAUUGAACGUUGCAAUUGUUGUUCACGAACGAGGAAUUCCUAGUAGGCGCGGGUCAUCAACCCGCGCCGAUUACGUCCCUGCCCUUUGUACAC